GAGAGAGAGAGAGAGAGAGAGAGAGAGAGAGAGAGAGAGAGAGAGAGACAGACAGAGAGAGCUCCCUGCAAUCUCUUGCAGCUACUGUGUUCAACUCAUGAGACAGAGAGAGAAAGAACAACUCUCAAUUUCCAUGGAAGAAAGAGUUGAGAGAGGAUUAGAGGGAGAGAGGAGAGAGAAAGAGAUUGAUUUAAAGGGACCCUGUUAAUUUAAUGUAAAUAUCAACGGCACCCAGUCUAUUUUUUCCGUUAAUUGUGGAGAGACUGAUAGUUGGUGGACAGAGGGAAAUGGAGGUGCAUGCAUGCC
rnacentral:lncRNA from 1 species